UGCAUCGAACGCCGUAGCAAUACGGAGUGGCAGACGGGUGAGUAACGCGUGGGAACAUACCCCUCGGUUCGGAAUAACUCAGGGAAACUUGAGCUAAUACCGGAUACGUCCGAGGUUUUGAUCGACCUUGGAGAAAGAUUUAUCGCCGGGGGAUUGGCCCGCGUCUGAUUAGCUUGUUGGUGGGGUAAUGGCUCACCAAGGCGACGAUCAGUAGCUGGUCUGAGAGGAUGAUCAGCCACAUUGGGACUGAGACACGGCCCAAACUCCUACGGGAGGCAGCAGUGGGGAAUAUUGGACAAUGGGCGAAAGCCUGAUCCAGCCAUGCCGCGUGAGUGAUGAAGGCCUUAGGGUUGUAAAGCUCUUUUACCCGGGAAGAUAAUGACGGUACCGGGAGAAUAAGCCCCGGCUAACUUCGUGCCAGCAGCCGCGGUAAUACGAAGGGGGCUAGCGUUGUUCGGAAUUACUGGGCGUAAAGCGCACGUAGGCGGAUCUUUAAGUCAGGGGUGAAAUCCCGAGGCUCAACCUCGGAACUGCCUUUGAUACUGGGGAUAUCGAGUCCGGGAGAGGUGAGUGGAACUGCGAGUGUAGAGGUGAAAUUCGUAGAUAUUCGCAAGAACACCAGUGGCGAAGGCGGCUCACUGGCCCGGUACUGACGCUGAGUGCGAAAGCGUGGGGAGCAAACAGGAUUAGAUACCCUGUAGUCCACGCCGUAAACGAUGGAUGCUAGCCGUUAGACAGCUUGCUGUUUAGAGGCGCAGUUAACGCGUUAAGCAUCCCGCCUGGGGGAGUACGCGCAAGAUAAAACUCAAGGAUUGACGGGGGCCCGCACAAGCGGUGGACAUGG
rnacentral:rRNA from 1 species